AUUGAACGCUGGCGGCAGGCCUAACACAUGCAAGUCGGACGGUAGCACAGAGAGCUUGCUCUCGGGUGACGAGUGGCGGACGGGUGAGUAAUGUCUGGGAAACUGCCCGAUGGAGGGGGAUAACUACUGGAAACGGUAGCUAAUACCGCAUAACGUCUUCGGACCAAAGUGGGGGACCUUCGGGCCUCACACCAUCGGAUGUGCCCAGAUGGGAUUAGCUAGUAGGGGGGGUAAUGGCUCACCUAGGCGAAGAUCCCUAGCUGGUCUGAGAGGAUGACCAGCCACACUGGAACUGAGACACGGUCCAGACUCCUACGGGAGGCAGCAGUGGGGAAUAUUGCACAAUGGGCGCAAGCCUGAUGCAGCCAUACCGCGUGUAUGAAGAAGGCCUUCGGGUUGUAAAGUACUUUCAGCGGGGAGGAAGGCGAUGAGGUUAAUAACCGCAUCGAUUGACGUUACCCGCAGAAGAAGCACCGGCUAACUCCGUGCCAGCCGCCGCCGUAA
rnacentral:rRNA from 1 species